ACGCUCGACACCUACGGGAGCAGCAGUGGGGAAUAUUGCACAAUGGGGGAAACCCUGAUGCAGCGACGCCGCGUGAAGGAAGAAGUAUUUCGGUAUGUAAACUUCUAUCAGCAGGGAAGAAACUGACGGUACCUGACUAAGAAGCACCGGCUAAAUACGUACCAGCAGCCGCGGUAAUCUGAGCGGGCUGGCAAGGC
rnacentral:rRNA from 1 species